CAGAAGGAAAAGGAAAGACAGAGCUUCAUCAAAGGACAGAGACAUUGCUUUGAAGAGGUUUCCAAGGACCAAACUGGGGAUAUUCUGAGCACAGGAUAAUAAUAAUGCUAGCAGUAGAGUAAAAUGAUCUGUGAGUUAUACUGGUAUAAAUAAAUAAUUUUAAAAUAAAGGAAAGAGACCGGGAGAGUGCAGAGGAGCUGCAGGGACCACAACUUGGACUCCUCCACCCCUGCUUUCCUCAGCUGGAGUCCUGGGAUGCGUUAGGCCCACUGGAGCCCCAGCGCAGCAGCUGCGCAGAGCUGCACAGACCCCACGCUGUCCAACCUGCACCUCCACCGGCCCGGCCCCUCCUCUCCUGGGAACCAGCUCUGCGCUCACCUCAGCAGCUUCAUCUUCCCCGAGCAUCGCGGGCACCUCCGGGACUUGGGACCAGGAAGAACAAGCUGUAUUUCCGGCCAGCCAUCCUUGAGGUCCAUCCUUCGC
rnacentral:lncRNA from 1 species